GUCUAAGCGAACAGACAAAAAACAAAAAACGCCUCCUAAAUCGAUGAAUAAACUUGAAACGCUGCAUAUUCCUCACCUGUGAGUGCAGGCAGGCGGGGAAUAUCAGGUUCAAGGGC
rnacentral:ncRNA from 1 species